rnacentral:lncRNA from 1 species
AAUUGGUGAAAGGAUGCAGGUUAGUCACGGGUUAAGCUCAUUAAGUCAGCCUUGCAGAUACAAGUGGUGGCUUAAUUAUCCUGGAGCAGAGCUCAUUGCCUGAGAGCACUUUAAAAGAGUCUCCGCUUUUCCUUUAUCCUAGAGGGCAAGCAAGCUGGCUGGUUACUAACUAUAUUGUCAAAAGCUGUCCUAGACUCACUCCUAAGUUGCUGCUGAUUAACUGUUCAGUCUAAUAUCUGGACUCUAAUAGAAGGCAGCACUUUUGGUUUGGUAGGAGACAAAUUGGAAGGCUGGGCAUCAAGUAAGUUAAAGUCGUCCAUUUAUCAAACACAAUGCAUAAGAGACACAGAGGCUCCCGUUUCCAUGGACGAGACACGCAGCUGAAAGAGAUGAGCUGUGGACACUUAGACCUUGUAUUGAGAUGAAUUGGCAGGCCAAGAGGAAAAGAAGAAAGUGGUUGGGAAAUAUUUUUUGGAACUGGUGAGGCAUUCCUGCAAGGGAAAUCAAUCUAAAACUAAACAUUCUUUCCACAAUGUGUGUAUGAAAUACACUUACUUUAUUUUAUAGAGAUGCGGUCUUGCUAUAUUGCCCAGGCUGGUCUCAAACCCCUGGCCUCAAGCAAUCCUCCCACCUAGGCCUCCCAAAGUGCUGGGAUUACAGGUGAGAGCCACUGCACCUGGCUACACGUGUUUUAAUCCUUGAAAAUCCUCAAUCCCUUUCAUUAUUUUUAUACUGAUUGGUCUUCCCAACUGUAAUUUGUUUCCAGACUCUCAUAUUCUAAGUGUCUGUUCUCCACGGUCUUUCACUGAGUCUAGAGCAGAAGCAAGGUCACCAUUCUUUGGCACUCAGUUAACAUACUAUGUUUUGCUAUGGCUUAGCAGAAACUAAGUGCUGUAACCUAUUGGGAAUCUCAGGAGGGACUUUUUUGUGUUUUUUUUUUUUUUUGAGACGGAGUCUCACUCUGUCACCCAGGCUGGAGUGCAGUGGCGCAACCUCGGCUCACUACAAGCUCCACCUCCCGGGUUCACGCCAUUCUCCUGCCUCAGCCUCCCGAGUAGCUGGAACUACAGGCGCUUGCCACCACGCCCGGCUAAUUUUUUGUAUUUUUAGUAGAGACAGGGUUUCACCAUGUUAGCCAGGAGGGUCUUGAUCUCCUGACCUCGUGAUCCGCCCAUCUCGGCCUUCCAAAGUGCUGGGAUUACAGGUGUGAGCCACCGCGCCCGGCCAGGAGUGACAUUUAAGCUAGUCAGUUUAAAUCAAAUCUUUGUUCUAUGUGACUUACCCAGUACUUCCCAAUAAUCUUAUCCACUCCACACCUUCUACAGUCAACUGAAGACUACCCAAAGGAGCACUGCUCAUGCAUAUGGCACAGCAGAGCACCGGGACCUGCCCAGCUCCUCUCUGAAGCUCUGUAAUCAGGCAGCUACCAAGGAAGAGUCAGACUUCAACAGUUUUUACACAAGGAAUCUCAAAAUCUUAAGUUGGAAGGACACCUUCCAUGAUUUGAUUCCCAGCCACAUAAAACCUGUUAUCUUUCAUUUAUAAAUGGGGGGAAUGGGGCAGAGAAAGCUCCUGUUAAUAAAAGAGGAGGCCACGCGCAGCGGCUCAUGCCUGUAACCUCAGCACUUUGGGAGGCUGAGGUGGGCAGAUCACGAGGUCAAGAGAUCAAGACCAUCCUGGCCAACAUGGUGAAACCUCAUCUCUACUAAAAAUACAAAAAUUAGCUGGGCAUGGUGGCGGGCACCUGUAGUCCCAGCUACUCAGGAGGCUGAAGCAGGAGAAUCGCUGGAACCCAGGAGGCAGAGGUCGCAGUGAGUCGAGAUCGCACCACGGCACUCCAGCCUGGCGACAGAGCAAGACUCCAUCUCAAAAAAAAAAAAAAA